ensembl:lncRNA
GGUUACGAAAGAAAACUACAAGGAAUGGACAUGGCAGUUUAAAGUUGAACAGACAGGAUGGCAGGAGCUUCAGCAGCUGCUUUGGAUUCUGAGCUGAAAUGAGGAUGGAGGUCAAAGGCUCAACAUGGUGAAGAAAAAAUACAGAAGAAACUUAAAUUUCUGAUGAGAGAUUUCAUGGUGCUAUUAUCUCAGCUCUAGACUGUCUCCUGUAGACUUCUUUUAUGAGAGAAAAAUCAAACUUUACCUUGUUCAAGCCAUUUCUACUAAACAUACCAUACUUUUAAUAAAACUGGGAGUAUGAGAAUUAGUUCAAUAAAAUUCUCUUCAGUGAACACUUUUCUUCGCUUUGGAACAGGUACACAUAUAGAAAUGUAUCAGCCUUCUAGGUGGCACAGUGGUAAAGAACCCGCUCACCAGUGCAGGAGACAGAAGAGAUGGGGUUCAGUCCCUGGGUCGGGAAGAUCCCCUGGAGAAGGAAAUGGCAACCCGCUCCAGUAUUCUCACCUGGAAAAUUCCAUGGACGGAGGAGGCUGCAAAAACUCCUAUAUAUCCUGGCUCCUCUUUUACCUUUUUGGAUCACAGCAAUCUGAGAGGCUGUCUCUCGGUCUACAGUUCUCAAUAAGGUCCUCAAAUAAAACAUAACUCUUAGCUUUUAGGCUGUGGAUUUUUGUUUUCUUUAGUUGACAGUUUUGGUGACCAAUGAAAGAACCCAGAACAAGCUUCUCUCCUUCACUUGAACUCUAUUAGAAUUUGGAGCCUUGGUACCGGCAGAGAGGCCUCCUUGGAGAGUUCAGACGAAUUUGGGUCAGUCUCUUCUGGGUCUCGGAUCUGCCAUUAUUGACUGAUGAUCCUAAGUUUUAUUUAGUGGUGUUAAGCUCCUUGCUACAGGAGUACAUUUUCCUUGAAACUUAGUUUCAAGAAGCAGCACCUAAGUUAUCCUUAGUUGAAAGACACUGGGAGGAUUUACUAUAUAUG